ACGAACGCUGGCGGCGUGCUUAACACAUGCAAGUCGAACGAUGAAAUUCUGACGGAGACUUCGGUCAACUGAGGGAUGGAUUAGGUGGCGGACGGGUGAGUAACGCGUGAGUAACCUGCCUCUCAGAGUGGAAUAACAUUUGGAAACGAAUGGUAAUACCGCAUAACGUCAUGGGACCGCAUGAUCCUAUGACCAAAGGAGCAAUCCGCUGAGAGAUGGACUCGCGUCCGAUUAGCUAGUUGGGAGGUAACGGCUCCCCAAGGCGACGAUCGGUAGCCGGACUGAGAGGUUGAACGGCCACAUUGGGACUGAGACACGGCCCAGACUCCUACGGGAGGCAGCAGUGGGGAAUAUUGCACAAUGGGGGAAACCCUGAUGCAGCAACGCCGCGUGAAGGAAGACGGUCUUCGGAUUGUAAACUUUUGUUCUUAGUGAAGAAACAUGACGGUAGCUAAGGAGAAAGCCACGGCUAACUACGUG
rnacentral:rRNA from 1 species